GUUUCCGUACAUAUAAAGAAUGCCGAAAUCCGAGUUAUAACGAAUAAGUUAUGGCCCGUCGAAGUUUUAUGGCAAAACCGGCACGGCACCGGGAAGCGUAAAUAGUGAAUUUAUGAUAGAGCGAGAUUUAGCCUUAGCAAUCUAAACGAAAGUUGUAUAAUAUGUUAAACUAAGCGCGUUGAUAAAAAGAACGCCCAAAUCUGACUUCGUAUGAGGAAGUUAUGAUUUUUCUAAGAUUCGGCUUAGCAGUGCACGACCCGAAACUCGAAUUUUAGUUCGAGCGGUUUUUGGCUUACGCGACCUAAAUGAGAGUUGAAGAUCUCAUUAAUAGGAACUCAACGGUAAAAAGAUGGACGAAAACGGAGUUCGUAUGAAGGAGUUACGAAUUCUUCGCGGUCAUUUAACAGUCUAAACGCCUCCUACUGUUAAAUUUGAGACCGGUCGAAAAUUAGCCGAUGGAGUCUAAAUGAAAGUUGUAGAUAUUGAUUUUACCUACGCGUGGAUAUAAAGAACGUCGAAAACGGAGCUCGUAUGCGAGAGUUAUGAUUUUUCUAAGUUCGAAGGCUGAUACGCGAUAGGGGGUGACGUGGCACCACCAGAAUUGGACACGUGGCACCACCAGAAGGCCACCACAUGGACCAACUCGGCGAGUAGGUCCCCCUACUCGGCGAGUCCAUCAGAUAUUUUCACUAUAAAUAGAGGUGUCGGGUCUAGCCUUCUCUUCACACCUCCCAAACUCACUUUCUCUCUCUAGUUUCUCUCUCUAGCCUCCCUAACCCCCCUAAAAGCCUAGGUAAACCCCCUAGCACCCGAAGGAAGCCCCAAGGCUCCCGAAGUCUCGAGAAAAGAGCCUUUCGGCUCGGUAACGCUGCUCCAGCGAAACCCGAUUUUCGAGAAAAGCCGUUGUAAGUGAGCUAUACCUAACCUAACUUUAGUUUAGCUUAUGUCUUAAUAUAAUAACGUUAUUAGGAACUUAUAAUAAGUAAUUAGGCUAUUAUUAUGGGUUAUAUAAGUAUCGUUUAAUGCUUAUAUAAUAGUAAUAGUAGCUAGUCUAUUAAUUAGUCGCGGUGAAUAUUAGACUAAACCCUAGUGGCAAUGAUACUAGGUUUUGCCGAAGGAAAAGUGUGUUAAGAGUAACGAAGUGCUGUCCAAGCGCCGAGUCACCACCUACUCAGGUGAGUGCAUAGUUACUUUCAGCUUACACAUAGAUAUGAAGUAUUUUAUAUAAAUUACGUGCUAUGUGUGCAUAUUAUCUGAAUACUUGCUAUCUAUGCUGGAUGAACAUUGUUAUACAUGUUUUCAAUGAUUUAAACUGUAUAUGUAUUUUAUAUCUACGAAAAUGUUGGGGUAAAACAUGGGUAGAUGUAAUAGGUGAUGUGUGAUAAAAUGAUGAGAGGCCUCGAUGUUGAUGUUGUUGAUUCUGUCAUCUAGCGGAGUACGGAUGACGACCACGGACUCUUCUAGACAGUCCAGUGGAACACUAGCAGGCUCGCAACCUGUAGGUGUUUGUGAACGAUGUGUUCACCGGUGUACUCCAUCCCCCACAUGGUUGCCUUUAGGACAUUUAUUGCUGAGGAAUCCCCUUAGCAGUAGUGUCCGUCCCGAUGAUGAUCCUUAGGCUAGGUCCCUUAUGAUAGGUGUUUAGGGACGUAAAGUGAGGAUAACGGGAACGGGUAAUCGGGUUAUUGUUGAUUGAUGAAAUUAAUAAACUUAUUUAUUGUGGGUUGAAAACCCUAUGUGCUCACCAGGCUCCCAAGCCUGACCCACUCAGUUUGAUGUAUUACAGGUAGUGGCGCUUGAGCAUAGAUAUGAUGUUGGACUAGGGAUUACGGUUAUAGGCCUGUAGAUAUGAAAUAAUGUAGUAUGGAUUAUAUUGUACUGUUAAUGCUUUUGAUCUAUACGAACAUGACAUCCGAAGUCUUUUAAUGAAAUACAUUUCUAUGGAAAUGCCUUUGAUAAAUCUUUAUCAUAUUUUUUUUUGGGACAAAUUCCGCAACACUUUUAUUUAAAAUGUUACUCUGAUUUUUAAACAAAGCAUAAACAAACCGGUCUUUUCUGGCCGUGAUUUUGGGGAUGUCACAGUUGGUAUCAGAGCAUUAGUUUAAGCGAACUAGGAAUUUGUAGGAUUUCUAGACUUAAACUUAGAAUGCUAAGCGAUGAUUGUGAGGUGUGAGCACUAGCUUAUUUUAGGAAUUGUGCCUAAAAUGCUUUUAUGUGCUAAAUGCUUUGUGCAUGAUAUGCUGUUAAUUGUUCGGAUCUAUGGUCUGUUGCCGACCGGAUCUGGAAACCUUAUGUGUUUAGGAUUCUAAACGUACGACUACGAUAUUAGAACUAGCAUGUAAACGUUUCGGAGUGAUAAGGACGAUUAAAACGUCUAUCCUAAAUAAAGAUCUAAAUUCACCUUAUUCGGUGUAUAGAUCAAGAUGGCAAGGACCCGUAGCGGAAACGUGAACGCAAAUGGAGGUAGGAACCAACCCCCAGUGGUUCAGCAAAUACCUGUUGUUGAAGAAGUUGCACCUGAGCCAGUCACCAUGGCUGGAGUUCAAGCCAUGAUUCAGGCUAUGCUAGCUGAACAAAGGGAAGAAAUGAGACGGAUGCUCCACGAAAAUAGGGACGAACCUACCAUACAUGUUGAACCGACGGAGCCAGUUCCCGAGCCAUCUGAGGAAGGGAACUAUAGCCGCCAAGUGAGUCAAGUAGGGACUCAAGGUGAGCAAAAGGAUGGCCCAGAAGGGAGAAACAACAAGGAUGGGCGGAUGUACAAAAAUUUCUUGGGUGCGAAACCACCAAGUCUCUCAGGAAGCCCAAAGCCUGUUGAGAUUAUGGACUGGAUCUCCGAGAUGGAGAUGGUGUUUGAGAGCUGCGACUGCAGCGAGAAGCAGAAGACUGUCUUCGCUGUGAGACAAUUGAAAACUGGAGUCUUGAGCUGGUGGAAGCUAUUGGCAGAUACAAUGCCACGGGGAGAAGCUCUGAAAAUGUCAUGGGAUGAGUUCUUGGAACAACUGAAGGCGCAGUACUGUUCAGAGAUAGACCUGAUUGAUCUGAACAAUGAGUUCCAAAAUUUGAAGAAGGGGAGAAUGAGCAUCGAUGACUAUGCUGCUGCAUUUACGGAAAAGAUGAAGUUGUUUCCAUACCUAGUGCCAACCGAACUUUCCAAAAUUGAGAAAUUCGCAAACGGACUGCCGGCUGACUUUGGCCCAACAGUCAAGAUGGCAACCACUCUGAAAUCAGUUGUUCGAGCAGCUAAGAACGUGGAGACCCAACAAAAGGAAAGAGGUCUGGAGAGGGCUGAGGUUGGUGAGAAACGGAAGUUCGAUGGAUCCUCGAAGUCCAACAAGAAGAGUAGAUUCUCGAAGUCUGGUUCGAGAGGAGGAGGAUCAGAAGCGAAGUGGUGUGACAAGUGCAAGAAGAAGCACUCUGGGAAGUGUGAUGGAUGGGUCACUUUUUUCAAAUGCGGAAAGCCUGGGCACUAUGCUAAUGAAUGCACCCUUAACCAGAAAGACUGUUAUGGGUGUAAUGAAGAAGGAAACAUUUUGAAGGAUUGCCCGAAGAAGAAGGAGGCAGGAAGACCCAACAUACCACCGAAGCCGAAGGCAAGAGCCUUCCAGAUGACGCUCGAGGCUGCGAAGGAGGCAGCAGACGUCGCUUCAGGUACCUUUCUUGUAAAUGGUUUGCCUGCAAAUAUACUAUUUGAUUCCGGAGCCAACUACUCCUUUGUGUCGCAUAAAUUUGGUGGGAAAUUAGCAUUGCCUGUAGAAAAACUAGAUAAUGCCCUGAUUGUAGAAGUUGCCAGUGGCAAAUUCGUACCUGUUAGUAAUCGUAUUAGGAACAUCAUCAUUGACCUAAACGGAAACGAAUUCCACGAAGAGCUAUUACCCAUAGAGUUAAACGGUUUCGACAUCGUUUUGGGUAUGGAUUGGCUUAGCGCCAACGAUGCUGAGAUUCAAUGCCGAAAGAAAAUAGUAAGGGUAAACCCACCCGGAAAGGAAUCAUUUAUGGUGUACGGGGACAAACGCAGAGUGAAUUCUAGAAUCAUCUCCCUGAUGAAAGCCAGGAAAUGUUUGUCCAAAGGAUGUACAUCGUACUUGGCAUUCGUAAUCAAUGCUAAGAAAGAAAAGAAAGAGGUGCAGAAUAUACCGGUUGUGUGUGGUUAUCCGGAAGUCUUUCUCGAAGAUCUUCCCGGAUUACCACCUGAUAGACAAGUAGAGUUCCGUAUCGAGUUGUUACCAGGAACAACACCAAUAACGAAAGCACCUUACCGAUUAGCACCGACGGAGAUGAAGGAGCUCAUGACGCAACUUCAGGAGCUGUUGCACAACGGUUUCAUUCGACCUAGUUCAUCACCCAGAGGAGCUCCGGUGUUAUUCGUGAAAAAGAAGGACGGAAGUAUGAGAAUGUGUAUAGACUACCGAGAGCUGAAUAAGGCAACGAUGAAAAACAAGUAUCCGUUGCCGAGGAUUGAUGACCUAUUCCAUCAGCUGCACGGUUCGAGCUACUUCUCAAAGAUCGAUCUUAGGUCAGGAUAUCAUCAGCUGAAGGUGAGAGAGCAGGAUAUUGAGAAGACUGCAUUCAGAACAAGAUAUGGACACUACGAGUUCUUGGUUAUGUCAUUCGGGCUAACCAAUGCUCCAACAACAUUCAUGGAUUUGAUGAAUAGGGUUUGUAAGCCAUUCCUCGAUAAAUCUGUAAUAGUGUUCAUCGACGACAUUCUCAUCUACUCGAAAAGCCAGGAGGAGCAUGGCAAGCAUCUACGGGAAGUAUUAGAAGUGUUGAAGAAGGAGAAGCUUUUUGCAAAGUUCUCCAAAUGCGACUUUUGGAUACGGGAAGUCCAAUUCUUUGGUCAUGUUGUUAACCAGGAGGGAAUAAUGGUUGACCCCGCAAAGAUCGAGGCUGUAAUGAAGUGGGAACGUCUAAAGAGUCCCACGGAGAUCCGAAGCUUUCUGGGAUUAGCCGGAUAUUAUCGACGAUUUAUCCAAGGCUUUUCUUCAAUAGCUGCUCCAUUGACAGUGUUGACCCACAAAGGAGAUACGUAUACGUGGAGUGAGAAGCACGAUGAGGCAUUUGAGAAGCUAAAGAAGAAGUUAUGUGAAGCACUAAUACUUUCUCUACCCGAUGGAGUUGAAGACUUUGCGGUUUAUAGUGAUGCAUCUGGAGUCGGGUUGGGUUGUGUUCUGACCUAAAGAGAAAAGGUGAUAGCAUACAUAUCUCGAAAAUUGAAAGAGCACAAAAAGAGUUACCCCACUCAUGAUCUGGAGUUGGCAGUGGUAGUAUUUGCCUUAAAGAUAUGGAGGCAUUACCUCUAUGGCACGAAGUGCAAACUCUUCACUGAUCAUAAGAGUCUCCAAUAUCUCUUUAAUCAAAAGGAGUUGAACAUGAGGCAACGAUGCUGGGUAGAACUACUCAAGGACUACGACUGUGAGAUACUUUACCACCCAGGUAAAGCAAAUAUUGUUGCUGAUGCUCUCAGUCGGAAAGUCAACCUUGAAAGGAAAAGGCCAAGAGCGUUGAGAAUUGAAGUCGUCUCGACGAUUGUGGAAAGUAUCAGGAAAUCCCAAGAAGAAGCUUUAGAAAAGAAUGACCGAAAGGAAGAACGUUUGGGCAAAACUUUAGUGUUCGGUACAAACAGUCCAGGACUGAAGGUAUUCCAAGAUCGAAUUUGGGUACCUAAGACGGGAGGAAUAAGAGAUCUUCUGAUGGAAGAAGCACAUAAGACCAUGUACUCGAUUCAUCCCGGUAGCACUAAAAUGUAUAGGGACCUAAAACCCUACUACUGGUGGCCGACGAUGAAGCUCGAUGUUGCGAUGUAUGUGGCCGAGUGUGUAACAUGUGCAAGGGUUAAGGCACAACAUCAGAAACCGUAUGGGAGUUUGGAACCUUUACCCGUACCCAUGGGUAAAUGGGAAGACAUCACCAUGGAUUUUGUGACUAAACUGCCUAGGACGAAGAACGGUCACGACAUGAUUUGGAUAGUCAUGGAUCAUUUCACUAAGAGUGCACACUUCAUAGCAGCCAACGAGAAGUGGUCUAUGGAUAAGCUCGCAAAUGCUUACGUGAAAGAGAUAGUAAGACUUCACGGCGUUCCUCUUACAAUUGUAUCUGACCGUGAUAGUCAUUUCACGUCGAGGUUUUGGAGGAGUCUACAAGAGGAGUUGGGUACAAAGUUAUGUUUGAGUAAUGCUUACCAUCCGCAAACCGAUGGUCAGAGCGAAAGAAUAAUUCAGACACUAGAAGAUAUGCUGAGAGCAUGUACCCUCGAGUUCCAAGGGAACUAGGAAGAGCACUUACAUUUGGUAGAAUUCUCCUACAACAACAGCUUUCACUCGAGCAUCAAGAUGGCACCUUAUCAAGCCUUGUAUGGACAGAAGUGUCGUACGCCGUCUUGUUGGCUUGAAGCCGGAGAGAAGCAGUUUAUGGGUCCCGAGAUAGUCCAUGAGACUGUUGAGAAGUUGAAGGUGAUUAGGGAAAGGAUGUUAGCAGCUCAGGAUCGUCAGAAGGGCUAUGCUGACAAGAAAAGACGACCAAUGACCUUCAAAGUUGGGGAUUCGGUUUUGCUUAAAGUCUCACCGUGGAAGGGACUUACACGAUUCGGGAAACGAGGAAAGUUGAGUCCAAGGUUUAUUGGACCGUUCAAAGUUCUUCAGAGGAUAGGGAACCAAGCUUACAAGCUCGAAUUACCCGAAGAAAUCAUUGAUAACACCUUCCAUGUGUGUUAUUUAAGGAAGUUCACGNAAACAGGAAUCAAUCACCAGUGAUUGAGCAAAUACCUAUUGUAGUAGCCGCUCCUGAGCCAAUCACGAUGGUCGGAGUACAAGCGAUGAUCCAAAUGAUGUUGGAUCAUCAAAUGGAAGAAACCAGACAUUUUCUCCAACAAAAUCGAGAUGAAGCUACCGUACAAAACGACGAGCUUGAGUUAAACGAAGAGCAGUCUGAGGAUGGAAACUACAGUAGGACCGUUGGUCAAGAUGAUCCACUUGUGAUUAUGUAACGCCCGGGUUCUAGGGCUAAGCAUAUUUUUCAAUGUAAUAGUCUAGGUCAACUAUUGUAACUCUUUUUGAAGUAAUAAAGAUGAAAUAUUUGAGUAGUAUUUGAAUUAUGUGCAUUUAUGUGCUUAUAAUUUAAUUAUAAAUAAAGAAUAAAAAUAAGCAUCAAAAUUAAAGUGUGAGAUAAGCCUGAUAUCUCUACAUAAAGUUGUAGAAUAUGUCUUAAGGUUUCCGUACAUAUAAGAACGUCGAAAUCCGAGUUAUAACGAAGAAUUUAUGGCUCGUCGAAGUUUUACGGCAAAACCGGCACGACACCGGGAAGCAUAAAUAGUGAAUUUACGAUAGAGCAAGAUUUAGCCUUAGCAAUCUAAACGAAAGUUGUAGAAUAUGUUAAACUAAGAGCAUCGAUAAAAAGAACGCCCAAAUCUGACUUCGUAUGAGGAAGUUAUGAUUUUUCUAAGAUUCGGCUUAGCAGUGCACGACCCGAAACUCGAAUUUUAGUUCGAGCGGUUUUUGGCUUACGCGACCUAAAUGAGAGUUGAAGAUCUCAUUAAUAGGAACUCAACGGUAAAAAGAUGGAUGAAAACGGAGUUCGUAUGAAGGAGUUACGAAUUCUUCGCGGUCAUUUAACAGUCUAAACGCCUCCUACUGUUAAAUUUG
rnacentral:lncRNA from 1 species